UAAUAUGUAGAUUCGGGUUAAUGUGA
rnacentral:piRNA from 1 species